rnacentral:rRNA from 1 species
CCCUUAGAUGUUCUGGGCCGCACGCGCGCUACACUGAUGAAUUCAACGAGCUCCUAACCUAGGCCGAAGGGUCCGGGUAAUCUUUGAAAUUUCAUCGUGAUGGGGAUAGAUUAUUGCAAUUAUUAAUCUUCAACGAGGAAUUCCUAGUAAGCGCGAGUCAUCAGCUCGCGCUGACUACGUCCCUGCCCUUUGUACACACCGCCCGUCGCUACUACCGAUUGAAUGAUUUAGUGAGGACUUCGGACUGGGACCGAUGCGGCUUUCGGGCUGCGUCGGUAUUCUGGAAAGAUGUCCAAACUGUAUCAUUUAGAGGAAGUAAAAGUCGUAACA